GAAAUGCGAUACGUAGUGUGAAUUGCAGAAUCACGUGAACCAUCGAAUCUUUGAACGCAAAUUGCGCUCGAUCCUUCGGGAGAGAGCACGUCUGCCUGAGCGACGGCCUUCCCUCUCGACUCCCUUCUCUUCGGAGAAGUCGAUGUCGGACCUGGCCCUCCCAGUCGUCUUGUCUUCGGACUUGCUCGCUGGGUUGGCUGAAGCGCAGAGGCCUAAGCAGGGAGCCCACACCAAAGGGGCACGGCAAGGUAGGUUGCCUAACGGCAGCUCCUUACCCGCCGCUGUCCCGGGAUCCUUUUGCUUGGGCCCAGCAGGAAAGCUUUUAUUUUUCGUCCUCAGUUCAGGCGAGAUUACCCGCUGAACUUAA
rnacentral:misc_RNA from 1 species